AUUAGAUAAGCGCAGAAGAUUUUAUUUUCCCAUUGUCCCAUCCAACUUCUACUAAACCAGCUGAUUCUGAUCUGAUCACCUUCUUUCCUUUCUUUCCCCUUUACAAAUAAACUCUUUCCUCCACUUACAUCUCUACAAGCAAUUGAAUUUUGUUCCCUCAUCUUUUAAUUGCUAAUCAUAAUCAGUCUUUUCACAGGUUUCAUUCCAUGUCUCCUUCUUCAGAUUAUAUAAACCCGCGAGAUGUUUGUAUCGUGGGUGUUGCUCGUACGCCUAUGGGUGGCUUUCUUGGUUCUCUUUCUUCCUUCUCAGCUACAAAACUCGGUUCCAUAGCUAUUCAGGCUGCUCUUAAAAGGGCAAACGUCGAUCCAUCUCUUGUCCAAGAGGUCUUCUUUGGCAAUGUUCUCAGUGCUAAUUUAGGACAAGCUCCUGCAAGGCAGGCUGCUUUAGGUGCGGGUAUACCCAAUUCAGUGAUUUGUACCACCAUUAAUAAAGUUUGUGCAUCGGGGAUGAAAGCUACUAUGCUUGCUGCACUGACUAUUCAAGUGGGUAUCAAUGAUAUUGUUGUGGCUGGUGGAAUGGAAAGCAUGUCUAACGCGCCCAAAUAUCUUGCAGAAGCAAGAAGGGGAUCUCGACUAGGACAUGAUACCAUUAUUGAUGGCAUGCUGAAAGAUGGCCUGUGGGAUGUAUAUAAUGACUUUGGAAUGGGAGUUUGUGCAGAAAUAUGUGCUGAUCAACAUAAUAUUACAAGAGAAGAACAGGAUUCUUAUGCCAUUCGGAGCUUUGAACGUGGAAAUUCUGCACAAAAUGGUGGUGUUUUUUCCUGGGAAAUAGUUCCUGUUGAAGUUUCGGGGGGACGAGGGAAAUCAGUUAUGGUUGUUGACAAGGACGAAGGUUUAAUAAAGUUUGAUGCUGCCAAACUGAGGAAACUCAGACCAAGUUUCAAGAAUGGUGGUUCGGUUACAGCUGGAAAUGCUUCUAUGAUAAGUGAUGGUGCAGCUGCAUUAGUCCUGGUGAGCGGAGAAAAGGCAAUUGAGCUUGGAUUGCAAGUGAUUGCUAGGAUAAGAGGAUAUGGUGAUGCUGCUCAGGCCCCUGAGUUAUUUACAACAGCACCAGCACUUGCGAUACCAAAAGCUAUUUCAAAUGCUGGGUUGGAGGCUUCCCAGAUUGAUUAUUAUGAAAUAAAUGAAGCAUUUUCUGUUGUGGCCCUUGCCAAUCAAAAGAUACUUGGUCUUAAUCCUGAAAAAUUAAAUGUUCAUGGAGGAGCUGUAUCUUUGGGACAUCCAUUAGGAUGUAGUGGAGCUCGUAUCUUGGUCACAUUAUUAGGGGUACUUAGACAUAAAAAUGGUAAGUAUGGGGUUGCUAGCAUUUGCAAUGGAGGAGGAGGGGCAUCUGCCCUUGUUCUUGAGCUCAUGUCAGUUGGAAGGGUGGGACGUUCGUUGUUAUGAUCAAAUUGGUCACUCUAACAUCAGCAUCCUACUGCAUUAAGGUUUGUUAGAUAAUGGAUCUAACUGAAGAUUAUCUAUGAUCGGUGAUCUGUUUAUGAUAUAUAUGUAGGAAGAAGGGGGAAUAAUGGAAUAGACCAAAAAGAAUAUAGUUAUAUUGUAUCAUAACAACGAAGGAAUAAAUUUAAUUGGUUAUUAAAAAUCAAUAUUUAAAAAUAUUAAAUAAUUACGNNNNNNNNCUAGGAACUUAAUAGAAUUUUCACUUAGUCGUAUUUGCAUGAGAUUGUACGUAUUCUUGCCCA
rnacentral:misc_RNA from 1 species